CGCCUCGCGAAAACAUCCAAAACAAAACACUCAAAACGAAAAUAAAAUAUUCACCACCACCUGGUUUGCCAACAUCGUCUUUACAAGGAAUGUCCAGCAGUGCAUGACAGAGGCCGGUCACUCCCAUUAAGUCCAGCUGAAGAGCCUUCCCAGUUCAUAGGACAAAAUGCAGUUACACAGAUUUUAACGGUGUUGGAAACAAUGAGAGACGAGAACAGGGAAAUGAAGCGGAUGCUGCAUCGGCUCUUGGCUAGGUCAGCUACUGAUGACGAGCCAAUGCAACUGCCAUCAGUCUUCCAAUUGGAACAUUUGAGCAAAUAGAUGAGUUUGAAGAGCAUCUUGGUGAUGAAGCUACGAUCCAUCUUUUCUAGGACUGCUGCAUAGUUCAAGCUUUUUUAUCAAAUAUAUUAAGCAAUGUUGUAAAUGUAAUUGACAGUUCUUUCUCCAUUGAUCCUAAACCAUUCCUUUAAGGAUCAUUUUCUAAGAAAGCAUACAUUCUUUUUUAUCUGGAAAUGAAAUGGUAUAUAUUCCUUUGCAAAAGAAGAAACAGCAUUUCAGUUUUUGAAGGUUUUAAAAGACAUAUAUAUAUAUAUAUAUCAUGUGCAAUUACGAAAAACACUAGAAUGUAUGAAGAUAUCAAAGAUAAUAAUAUGGACUUGUUCUCGAAAUAGGAUUUGCCAUUUAUUUGAGUUUUUGGAUUUUUCUGCAGGGUUUUUAAUUUCUAGUUUAUAAAAUAUUUUGUUGAGUCUUGCAAGUAUGUUUUCUACAAAUGUUCUUUGAGUACAUGGUGUGUUAUUUGUUUUGGUUAAAGAUUUAAUAUGCAUGGGUAUGCUUUUGAGUAAUGUGUAGUACAUCAGGAAAAUACUUGAAGGUAUUUUGUAUAUGUAAUAUAUAUUUUAUAUCAAAAUAAUAGGAGUCCUUAAUUCUAUAGUUGUAUAACUGGUCAACAUAUAUAAUGUUAUAGAAAAACGUCGUAUUGUUUGAAGUUAUGUCAUUAUUGUUCCAUAAAAUAGUUCAACUGUUGGUUUGGGUUUAUAGAUUAUGAGUAACAUUACUCCAUGCGGAUAGAACAUUAGAUAGAAACAUGUUUUCGUUAGCAACUUCAUGUAAAAUAUUUUUGCUGAUGUUACAUUCAAAAAGUUAGGAAUCACCAUAUUAUUUUAGAAUUCUCUGGUAGAAUAGUUAACGUGGGAUCCUCCUGCUAUUUAUGUAUGUAUCCAUGUAUAUGUGUGUAAUACUUUAUGUGAAUAAAAGUUGAGAGUACUUUAAUAAAUUUUUAAGUCUUUUAACAAAAA